GAUGAAUGCUGGCGGCGUGCCUAACACAUGCAAGUCGAGCGGCAGCGCGAGUAGUUUACUACUUGGCGGCGAGCGGCGGACGGCUGAGUAACGCGUGGGAACGUGCCCCAAAGUGAGGAAUAACUGCCCGAAAGGGUGGCUAAUGCCGCAUAUGAUCUUCGGAUUAAAGGAUUUAUCCGCUUUGGGAGCGGCCCGCGUCGGAUUAGGUUGUUGGUGAGGUAAUGGCUCACCAAGCCGACGAUCCGUAGCUGGUCUGAGAGGAUGAUCAGCCAGACUGGGACUGAGACACGGCCCAGACUCCUACGGGAGGCAGCAGUGAGGAAUCUUCCACAAUGGGCGAAAGCCUGAUGGAGCAACGCCGCGUGAAGGAUGAAGGCCCUCGGGUUGUAAACUUCUUUUAUAAGUGAAGAAUAUGACGGUAACUUAUGAAUAAGCACCGGCUAACUACGUGCCAGCCGCCGCCGUAACAC
rnacentral:rRNA from 1 species